rnacentral:lncRNA from 1 species
GAGAGAUCUUAAACCUUGUAUCUCUCAGAGACCUCAAGAAAACCACGUACCCCCAAAUAAUCAAACACAAAUGUUUUUAAAGUAUUACUGAAUGGCUAAUAGUAACUUCAUUUUAGAAAUAAAAACUGUGCUUUUAGGUUUAAAUAUAUGAAUUCUCAAUAUCUCAUAACACAGUGAAGCUGUUGACUGAACAAAAUUUCACCUGUCUUUUUAAAAAAGAAACAAAGCUCUCAAAGUUCUGGAGGAAAAACACGGAAAAAAGCAUUUGAUUACAGAUCAAUCAUGCAUACGUGAAAAACUACAGAACAAAGGUUGCCCUUUAAUCAAACUCCACCCAAUUACAGAACAUUUGCCUAGCACUCUCAUAGUAUCAAGGUUUGGUUCGUAAUGUCAUUUCUGCUAUGGCUAUCAGCCAAAGCAAUGAAGCUCAGGACUGAAAUUCAGGAAAUCCCAUUGCACCUCCAAUUCUGCCAUCCUAAAAACUUUUCUUGAGCAUGUGAAACUGAACACCUGCACCACCUCCUAUCAAACUCAAGCUGCAUCAGUACACAAGAAUUCUGUUCACCAGCUAUGCGAAAGCUUUAGAAGUAAAGGUGGGACACAGGACUUGCACAUAUCACCACUGUGGUUCCUUGUCUGAAGACAAGCAACAUAGAAACCUGCAC